CUGACCUUGGGUACUUUGCUAAGCUAAGAAAUUUCAGGUGCAUACAACAUUUUUUCCAGAGUAAAAAAUUCUAAAUGUUAUCUUGCCAGAAAGGAUAGUUUACAAAGCCUGCAGUUGUGGAGAACAAAGACUGCACUCGAGCUGUUUCAAAAUGCUGGCAGAAGACAUUUAUGGAUACAUUUCAGGUCUGCGGUGCCAGACUGGGACACAAUAGGGACUGAUUCUCCUUCACACACCACCUUGUUAUUGCCACAGUUUGAAAGAUUUGAACGGUACAAGAUGGCGUUUCCUGAGAAACACCCUGAAGGCCUCAGUGGAGAUCCCUUUGGCUGGGGUCAGCCUCCUCGCCUGAUCCUCCUCCCCUCCUGGGG